rnacentral:snRNA from 1 species
AACCCAGCCAUUUGGGUUCUG